rnacentral:rRNA from 1 species
GCUAGCGUUGCUCGGAAUCACUGGGCGUAAAGGGUGCGUAGGCGGGUCUUUAAGUCAGGGGGGAAAUCCUGGAGCUCAACUCCAGAACUGCCUUUGAUACUGAGGAUCUUGAGUUCGGGAGAGGUGAGUGGAACUGCGAGUGUAGAGGUGAAAUUCGUAGAUAUUCGCAAGAACACCAGUGGCGAAGGCGGCUCACUGGCCCGAUACUGACGCUGAGGCACGAAAGCGUGGGGAGCAAACAGG